GCUUACGGCCAUAUUAUGUUGAGAGCACCAGUUCUCGUCCGAUCACUAAAGUUAAGCAAUGCCGAGCUUAGUGAGUACUUAGAUGGGUGACAGCUUGGGAAACCUAGGUGCUGUAAGCA
rnacentral:rRNA from 1 species